rnacentral:rRNA from 1 species
GACGAACGCUGGCGGCGUGCUUAACACAUGCAAGUCGAACGGUAAGGCCCUUCGGGGUACACGAGUGGCGAACCGGUGAGUAACACGUGGGUGAUCUGCCCUGCACUUCGGGAUAAGCCUGGGAAACUGGGUCUAAUACCGGAUAGGACCACUGCCUGCAUGGGUGGUGGUGGAAAGCGUUUGCGGUGUGGGAUGGGCCCGCGGCCUAUCAGCUUGUUGGUGGGGUGAUGGCCUACCAAGGCGACGACGGGUAGCCGGCGUGAGAGGGUGACCGGCCACACUGGGACUGAGAUACGGCCCAGACUCCUACGGGAGGCAGCAGUGGGGAAUAUUGCACAAUGGGCGCAAGCCUGAUGCAGCGACGCCGCGUGAGGGAUGACGGCCUUCGGGUUGUAAACCUCUUUCAGCACCGACGAAGCGCAAGUGACGGUAGGUGCAGAAGAAGGACCGGCCAACUACGUGCCAGCCGCCGCAGUAA